GGUGACGUAGGGCAGGUAGACCCGGCGGAAGGCAGGGCAAUGGCGCAGAACAACAUCGCACACGCUGAAGCGCAGCACGUCGGCCUCUAGGCGCUGUUCCAGAUCGUGAAGAAACCUGCCAGACCUACGGAUAAUCUGGCUGGGGCCUGGGCGUGCCCGAAGCUACCAACUGACAAUCUUCGGACUACUUCGGUCUUUCCCAAGAGUGUGAGCUGCCCAUUGCGCGCUCGGCUACGCCCAGCAUCUGCCUUUGGCCCCGCCCCAAACAGGGAGUGUGCUCUCAACGGCCCCGCCCUUGUGUUGCCCCACCCUGUUGAUCCCGCCCUCUCCCCUGGCUUCCCCUUUCGGCUUCCAGGACCCUUACUUUCCCAGGUCUUCCCACCUGCUCUCCACGUUGAUAAUGCCUCACUCCUACUAAGUUUCUGAUCACUUGCACUUGGUCCUGCCCCGUUCUAGGUUCCGCCCCUCCCGAUCCCUCUCUUACCUUUCCAGUCUUCUCCCUCACUCUUUGACAGUCCCUGUGCCCAGCUGAGUCGCCCCAACAACUACUUCUGGCUCCGCCCCUGUCAUAGGCUCCUCCUUCCUGUUUAGACCCCGCCCAGGCUUUUCUCUGAGCUUCAUAGAUUCCCCCACCCACCAAGCAAGUAGACAGUCUUUCAUUUCCCUAGGGUCCCCAUCACCUGCCUUCUCGCCUCGCCCCAUCCGAGGUUCCGCUCUUCUCGCCCCCUUUCCUUGCUUCCCCUCUGGGCUCCCGAGUCUUUCCCCAGGAUCUCCCACCCCUUCUCCACGUGGAUGGCCUCUAAUUUCCCGUGGGUCCCCAUCUCCUGCCUCUAGCCCCGCCCUUCACCUCCUGCAGUUUGCAGUCGCGCAGGCUCAGCGUGGCCAGGACACCGCUGCCGCGCACGUCGGGGAUGUCCUGCCACAGCGAGAAGGUGGAGCCUCGGGCCGAGCGCUGCGCGCGGAAGGAGCUGCUCGGGGAAAGGUUGGCGCGCGGUGGCCCGGGCCCUUCCUCCGCUCCCUCCGCCCCGUCUCCGGGGCCCUCCUCCUCGCGCUGCUGCCGCCGCAACUCGCGCGCGCUGGCCACGUCGCUGUACUCCUGGUAGAGGACAGCUGGGCGGGGAGGGGGGGGUGCUCAUUUACCCAUGCCAGAAACACUAAUUGGGCACCAACUGCAUGCCAGCCCACCUGCUAAACACUGGUACUGCAAUUCUCUCCCUCGCGCACACUGUCUCUACUUCCCAACUCCCUCAAAACAGGCUUUCCAGAUUCCAACGCCUCGGGCCCCAUCCCCCGUCCCAUCCCCUCGCAGCGACUCUGCACUUACAGUUAAGGAGGAAACGGGACUGGCGCCUCUCGGUGGCGCUGCUGGGAUCCUGGGAGGGCUUUUCGUGCGUGUCCAGCCUAGGAAAGAGUGUCAGCACCUCUUUGCAUCCCUCCCCAACCCAAGCUCCAAGAGAGAGGUGGGUACCUGGGUUCCAGGAGACCACCGCGAACCUCAUUUGGGUCGACAGGUGCUGACAGCGACACGCUGACCACCCUCAUCUCUGCUCUUCGAGAUUCCCUCACGGGCAGUUUCCCUAGAGAAAGCAAGAGCUGGGAGUGGGCGAUCCAGAGAACGACGCGCGUGGGUCACCCAGCUGAUCACCUGAAGAUGUUAACACGGGUGGUGGGGCUGUGUCCCACCCGCCUGGCUCAGGCUGCCCUCAGUGUCCGGGAGAAAAUCUGGGUACCUUCCCUGGUGAUUCCAGCACCUGACCCUGAAGUCAGAGCCCUGGUGGCCGUGCGCCCCAGGCGCAGAGACGAGUGGAGCCUUGUCAUCAGUUCAGAGGCUGAGAAACGCCUUCGCUCCUGAGCCUCAAGGCCCCCUCUGGUGUUUCCGGAAAGCUCCUGCGGCCUGGGCUCCUCCGCACACAGAGCCUGCUCUUGUGCGGCCUGGCCAGUCGCCAAGAGGCCCGUGGGGGUCUCGAUGCCACCAGUGGUCUCUUCAUUAUUAUACACUUGCAUCUUGCGCCCUAGAGGUGGGAGUAAAAUAACAUCUGUCACCCACUGUA